rnacentral:ncRNA from 1 species
UCUUAUCAAGAGUAGGUGGAGGGACUAGCCCGAUGAUACCCGGCAACCGGCGAAUUUUGCACGGUGCUAAUUCUUGCAGGAUCAAAUGCCCUGUCGGCGGAUGAUCUCUGAGAGAUGA